GGAAAGAGGGCUACCAUACACGUUGAAAUCACCAAAUAAACAGCUUAUGCACACAUUUCUCCACUUCGUCGUAAGUUUACAGAGCAGAUUUUAUACCUUGGCACUGGUCUUCGUCUUUGAUAUGAACAGUUAUGCCCCUAGUUUAAGGUUAUUUAAGAUUCAUCCUGUCGUAAGUCUUCUAUACUAGCAACCAAUCGAUAAUAUUUCACUUUAGCGUUGUCUUUGCCGUUACGUUGGCUUCGCAUUACUUUUGUUUUAAAUACCUUGAUCGCGUUAAAUUAGUUAUUUUUCAGGCCAGUGAUAUAGCCAAAAGACUUAGCAUUAACGUCCUUGUGAUUUUACAGAGAUAUCGCUAGAACUGAGGAUUUUAGAAGGCGUUAUCUGUACCUUCCCAAAGUUGUAGACAAGAUAUGUUGUUUACGUGCAACACGCAUAAGAUUACAUAACUCAUAAUAAUUCGGGCAAAACCGGUAUUUUGUUAAAAGGAAGACUGGUUAAUAGAAAUAGUUCGUUUUGAGUGAUAUAAUCGUGUGGCGUCAUCGAUCCGUG